GCCUGACUGGCUCAGUCAGUAGGGCAUGUGACUCUUGAUCUCGGGGUCAUGAGUUCAAACCCCAGGUCAGGUG
rnacentral:tRNA from 1 species